UGAUUUUUUACCUACUAAAAUUAUAUAAUUCGAUCGGUUACCUGGAGGUAGCUGAAAUGGGUAUUAUCCUUCGUCUAGAUACUGGUAAAUUUCAAUAAAAAUAAAGUUAGCUGCGUGUACUAGUAUUUCAAAACUUUCACCAAAAAGAAGUGCCUUCCUUCAAACGUAAUUAGGAAAAGGUGUACACUCGGGCGUAUACGUGUUUUUUUUUUAUAAAAUCAGAUUUAGCGUGUUCCAAGUUGAUUGAUCUUCUUUAUUUAUUCUUCAGUAAUAAUUUUCAAUCUCCUAACUUUUUUAAGGUUAUACUACGUAUGCAAAAUCAAGAAGAAAUAAAAUAUCUAUAGAACGAUAAAUGUUGGACGAUAUGUUAUGAUAUAAUUUUCGUUUCAUCUAAAUACAAAAAAAAAACACUUCUCAAGUUCAGAUAUAAUAUCAUAUUUUUUUUUUAGAGAUUAAGGAACUUAAUUUUAUAAAGGUUUGUAUUUGUAUUAGACAGCAUUGAAAAUAGCCAAAAUCCUCAAUUUUCAAGGAAAAAAUAAAUAACAUAAUAAACGUUUAAAAAAUAGAGUAAUUUCUAAAGGAAUGCAAUUCACCCAGCUUAAUGACAGCAAAAAAAAAGUCAACAAGUCUUAAGAAAAGCUCAACACAAAUUCAACGAUCCAACAAAAAAAUUGUAUAUAAUAUUUUGUUAUAAUUACCUGCUUCAGAAACAGCUGCCAGCACAUAAAGAACCCUGGCAACAAACUUUGCAAAAAAAAAUAUAAAUAAAUAAAAAAAAAACAAACAUUAUCAACGUCAAGUUCAAAAACGACCGCACCAAUACAACUACAAAGCCGACAACAUCCAAAAGGAUGAAAUUCACUACAACGACGAUGACGACGACUACACAACGACAAAACAAGAAGGAUAUUGAGUUUGGUUCAAGUGAAAUAAGGUCAAAUCCAUUAAAAUAAACUUAAAAAGCUAAGCGAUUUAACCCCAUGUUCGAGUUCUUAGUAUGCUUUUGUGCCUUGGAUAUAAAGGCUCUGAUGCUCUCAUCAAUCCAUCCAUCAUUCGCCUCAGAGUGAAGUGUAACAAGAAAAAAUAUAUAAAUGAGAAGUGGAUAAUUACGAACCAUCGAAUUUCACCUGUCAACAUUUCCUCUAAUAAAAGAGAAUACUCCCGUCUGAGCCUCCACUUUUAGCAAAGGUACGAAAAAGGUCCUUGCACUUGGCCAAUGCCAAUGCUAAGCCUUCUAGCACGUGUGUUUGCUCAUAUUAUGUAUGUUGUAGUUCAAACAGUGGUGCAUUAUGUUUAGUAGGUGGCUUUGACAGUAAAUAGGCGUUGGGGGCUACUUAGAAAAAAGAAAAAUACUAAAAAAAGUUUCAAACUUGAAAUACAAAACAAAAAAAGGACUCGAAUUUCUUUUCUGGUAUCAGGAAACACUUGACACAUUUAUCAAAAAAAAAAAAAACAACAGUAAAAUUCCAGGAGCCUUUGCCAAUCAUAAAUCAAAAUCCUCC